AUCGCUCCUCGGCCUUUUGGCUAAGACUGAGUGUCAUAUCUGUUUUUUAUCAGUUUAAUAUCUGAUCCGAGGACAAUAUAUGAAAUGGAUUUUUGGAACAGGGAGGUGAAAUAGGGGCUUGCUCUGUCCACUCCGCGCAUCGACCUGGUAUUACAGUAUCUCCAGGAAUGGUGCACCAAAA
rnacentral:snRNA from 1 species